ACGGAGGGGGCUAGCGUUGUUCGGAAUUACUGGGCGUAAAGAGUGCGUAGGCGGUUUAGUAAGUUGGAAGUGAAAGCCCGGGGCUUAACCUCGGAACUGCUUUCAAAACUGCUAGGCUAGAGUGUGGUAGGGGGUGACGGAAUUCCUAGUGUAGAGGUGAAAUUCUUAGAUAUUAGGAGGAACACCGGUGGCGAAGGCGGUCACCUGGGCCAUAACUGACGCUGAGGCACGAAAGCGUGGGGAGCAAACAGG
rnacentral:rRNA from 1 species